rnacentral:rRNA from 1 species
GAUGAACGCUGGCGGCGUGCCUUAUACAUGCAAGUCGAGCGAACAGACGAGGAGCUUGCUCCUCUGACGUUAGCGGCGGACGGGUGAGUAACACGUGGAUAACCUACCUAUAAGACUGGGGUAACUUCGGGAAACCGGAGCUAAUACCGGAUAAUAUAUUGAACCGCAUGGUUCAAUAGUGAAAGACGGUUUUGCUGUCACUUAUAGAUGGAUCCGCGCCGCAUUAGCUAGUUGGUAAGGUAACGGCUUACCAAGGCGACGAUGCGUAGCCGACCUGAGAGGGUGAUCGGCCACACUGGAACUGAGACACGGUCCAGACUCCUACGGGAGGCAGCAGUAGGGAAUCUUCCGCAAUGGGCGAAAGCCUGACGGAGCAACGCCGCGUGAGUGAUGAAGGUCUUCGGAUCGUAAAACUCUGUUAUUAGGGAAGAACAAAUGUGUAAGUAAAUAUGCACGUCUUGACGGUACCUAAUCAGAAAGCCACGGCUAACUACGUG